AGUGAACGCUGGCGGUAGGCCUAACACAUGCAAGUCGAACGGCAGCACAGUAAGAGCUUGCUCUUACGGGUGGCGAGUGGCGGACGGGUGAGGAAUACAUCGGAAUCUACUUUUUCGUGGGGGAUAACGUAGGGAAACUUACGCUAAUACCGCAUACGACCUACGGGUGAAAGCAGGGGAUCUUCGGACCUUGCGCGAUUGAAUGAGCCGAUGUCGGAUUAGCUAGUUGGCGGGGUAAAGGCCCACCAAGGCGACGAUCCGUAGCUGGUCUGAGAGGAUGAUCCGCCCCACUGGAACUGAGACACGGUCCAGACUCCUACGGGAGGCAGCAGUGGGGAAUAUUGGACAAUGGGCCCAAGCCUGAUCCAGCCAUACCGCGUGGGUGAAGAAGGCCUUCGGGUUUUAAAGCCCUUUUGUUGGGAAAGAAAAGCAGCAGGUUAAUACCCCGCUGUUCUGACGGUACCCAAAGAAUAAGCACCGGCUAACUUCGUG
rnacentral:rRNA from 1 species